GUACCCUGAGUAGGUGGGGGCAGGUGAAACCCCCUCUGAACCAGCCGGCACCAUCCGGCAAGGCUAAAUACUUCUGGAAGACCGAUAGUGGACCAGUACCGUGAGGGAAAGGUGAAAAGCACCCCGACGAGGGGAGUGAAAGAGACCUGAAACCGGAUGCCUACAAGCAGUCGGAGCCUCUUUAUGGGGUGACGGCGUACCUUUUGUAUAAUGGGUCAGCGACUUAAUCUAGCAAGCAAGCUUAAACCGUUAGGUGUAGGCGUAGCGAAAGCGAGUCUGAAUAGGGCGACUAAGUUUGUUGGAUUAGACCCGAAACCGAGUGAUCUAG
rnacentral:rRNA from 14 species